rnacentral:misc_RNA from 1 species
ACACCUCAACUCUCAUGGUUCGCCAUGACGAGCUUGGACUUUGGGGGUCUUGCUGGCCUAUGGUCGGCUCCUCUCAAACAAAUCAGCUUGCCAGUGUUUGGUGGCAUCACAGGUGUGAUAACUAUCUACGCUUGUGGUUUUCCACCAGGUAACCUUCAGUGAUGGAGGUUCGCUGGGGCUCAUAAACGUCUCUCCUCUGCGAGGACAACUUUUUGAAC